UCCCAUAACUUAUUCAGCCUUUCCCCAACUGGGCGCUCCCAUGGCCCCUGACCUUGACCCCAUCUCAGUGCUGACCUUAGCCCACAUGUCUCUCCAGACUCUCCAGGAGUGCUCCCAUGCCAAGCCAACACUAAAAGUUCCCAGCAGACACAUCUGGAGCCCUGAACCCAUGCAUCAGACCAACCUUGACCCUGGCCCUGACCCCAACCUGAGCCUGAUUCCCAGUGUGGAUUGGACCUCCAUCCUGGCUCCGUUCUGAAUCUUCACUCCAUCCUGAGAGCUAAGCCCAUCCCCAAACUGAAUUCUGACACCGGUCCUGAAGUGAACUCCGACCUGCUCCAGACAAACCUCUGAGCUCAUGCUGACCCUUAAAGUGGCUCCACUGAAACCUGACCCCACCCAUAGAAUGAGUGUCCCAGACCCAGACCUGAAUUUGGUCCCAGGCUGACCUUUCACCCUGGUCAGCUGACCCUUGACCCGGGCCCUUAAUCCAGCCCUGAUUCUGGCCUGAGCACUCACACUGAUGGCAUCUAAAUCCUGACUUCAGCCUAAGAGUGUCCUUCACAUUGACCCUAGAUGGAAUUCUGACCCUGACUCCGGAUUGAGUCGCCUGACCCUGAAUCCAGACUGAACCCUGAGCUGGCCAGACUUGAUCCAGAAUGGAGGCUGAAAUGAGAUUCUGAAUUUUGCCUCCUGUUCCAGACUACCUGAGCUUCAUAUAUUGAAUCUUGACUGUCUUAACUCUGUUGAACCCUGACCACAGAUAUCCACCUGAUGGAUGGUGGAUGGUGGUCCUGAUGGAUGGACCUGAAGACUGAAAGGAACUCAAUUUCAGUCACAGACAUCAUCCUGAUCCAGGACAAACCCUUUCAUGAUCGGACUCCGGAAUGACUCCUGACUGAGCUAGUUCUGGAUUCAUGAAGGCUUUGAGCCCUGGUCCAAGUCCACAUUCACCCUUGUCUGUGGCUCCAGGCUGAACCAUACCCUACCAACAUUAGAAUGAGCUCCGAGCCUUAUUUUAAAUGGACCUUGGCCUUGGCCCUACUGUGAACUUUGACCUCUGACCUUGGCCCUAUUCUCUGUCCUGCAUCAUCUCUGACCUUGACAUCACACUGAACUGAUCUGUCUGAGCUCAACUCAACCUGGAUCCUGGCCCCAGUCCCUGGGGGCCUCCAUCCACCUGUCCCUGGGUCUGGCCACCCGUUCUGAGCUUUAUUUGAAGCCCUGGCUGAGUCCUGAAUCGAACCAACUCAAAUCCCACUCUCUGUCUCAGGAUGAUCCUUGCCCUGGAGUCCUAAGACUCCAGACCAUACUCCAGGACCGACUUAGACUCAGCUCUGAUUCCAGAGCCAGCACUUCAGAGCCCUGACUGAUCAUGAGCACAUGAUGUCUGCAGACGUGUCUCUGCAAAUCACCAUCUUACAACAAGCUGGGGGGAGUGGGAGGACGAGAACUGACAGACAGCAGGACAUAAGGCUGCGUGGAGGGAGAGACCCUCAGAUCAGUCUUGAACAUCUCAGGACACUUCAAAACUGCAGUCAGGGGUGCUGCUGGGGGAGAGGGAGGCCAGGAUGGAGCUCCCCUGUGCUGUGGCCGAAAGCCCCUACAGGAGUGGGAGGAAGCUGCUUUCCUUUUAAACUAAUUAUUCUUGUGAAAUGGGCAUUAAACUUAGUUGUCAUUAUGAUGCAGAAACAAUCCUGGGCCUUCUAGGACCUUCUUAAAGUCAGUACCCUAGAAUAAAGCCCCAAUCAUCCCAUCCUAGUUACAGUUCUGCCUAACACCAUCUCCAGACUGAGCCUGGCUCCCAGGUCUGAACUUAACCCUCACCCUGAUUUUUCUUCUUCUUCUUCUUCUUCUUUUUUUUUUUUUUUAGCUGAGACAAUUGUGGUUAAGUGACUUGCCCAGGGUCACACAGCUAAGAAGUGUUAAGUGUCUGAGAUCAGAUUCGAACUCAGGUUCUCCUGACUCCAGGGUUAGUGCUCCAUCCACUGUACCAUCUAGCUGCCUCACCCUGAUUUUUAAAUUAAAACUCCCCCAGUUCUGGAUGGAACCUAACUCCAGCUCUGAACGGAAACCUGACCUUGGCUACAGACAAGGUUUUUUCUUUUCCUCUAUUUGCCAAGAAUUUUUUUCCCUCUUACUUCCCUGUCCCUAAAAAAAGAAAAAAACUUUUGUAACAAAUUUACAUAAUCAAAAUAAAUUCCUAUAUUAACUAU